UACGGAGGGUGCAAGCGUUAUCCGGAUUCACUGGGUUUAAAGGGUGCGUAGGUGGAUUAGUAAGUCAGUGGUGAAAUCUCCGGGCUUAACCCGGAAACUGCCAUUGAUACUAUUAGUCUUGAAUACCGUGGAGGUCAGCGGAAUAUGUCAUGUAGCGGUGAAAUGCGUAGAUAUCUGGAGGAAUACCGGUGGCGAAGGCGGCAUCCUGGACCGACAUUGACGCUGAAAACCGAAAGCUAGGGGAGCAAACGGG
rnacentral:rRNA from 1 species